UCGAGCGGGCCCUUCGGGGUCAGCGGCGGACGGGUGAGUAACGCGUGGGAACGUGCCUUCUGGUUCGGAAUAACCCUGGGAAACUAGGGCUAAUACCGGAUACGCCCUUUUGGGGAAAGGUUUACUGCCGGAAGAUCGGCCCGCGUCUGAUUAGCUCGUUGGUGGGGUAACGGCCUACCAAGGCGACGAUCAGUAGCUGGUCUGAGAGGAUGAUCAGCCACACUGGGACUGAGACACGGCCCAGACUCCUACGGGAGGCAGCAGUGGGGAAUAUUGGACAAUGGGCGCAAGCCUGAUCCAGCCAUGCCGCGUGAGUGAUGAAGGCCUUAGGGUUGUAAAGCUCUUUUAUCCGGGACGAUAAUGACGGUACCGGAGGAAUAAGCCCCGGCUAACUUCGUGCCAGCAGCCGCGGUAAUACGAAGGGGGCUAGCGUUGCUCGGAAUCACUGGGCGUAAAGGGCGCGUAGGCGGCGUUUUAAGUCGGGGGUGAAAGCGUGUGGCUCAACCACAGAAUGGCCUUCGAUACUGGGACGCUUGAGUAUGGUAGAGGUUGGUGGAACUGCGAGUGUAGAGGUGAAAUUUCGUAGAUAUUCGCAAGAACACCGGUGGCGAAGGCGGCCAACUGGACCAUUUACUGACGCUGAGGCGCGAAAGCGUGGGGAGCAAACAGGAUUAAGAUACCCUGGUAGUCCACCCCGUAAACGAAUGAAUGCCAGCUUGUUGGGGGUGCU
rnacentral:rRNA from 1 species